rnacentral:lncRNA from 1 species
AUACUUACCUGUUAGAAUAUCUUCUUUCUUUCUUUUUUUUCUUGAGAGAUGGGUAGCACGCUACCCGUUUUGUUUAUUUCAUUUAGAAAUAAACUUAACUGGAAAUGUGAAUCAACUAGGAUUCGAAUUUGGAUCUCGGGUACCAACCACCAAGCCCUUUGCCACUUGCUCUAGGGACAGUCAGUUACCUAUUAGAAUAUCACAUCGGAAAAUAACUGUUACGCUAUAUAUAUAUA